rnacentral:lncRNA from 1 species
GGACUUCUUAACAGAGUCAGGGUGUGUGGCAGAGGCAGGCUUUGUUUAUUUUUUUUUGAUGAGCCAUUGGAAGGAACAAAAAAUCGUAACACAGGCUCUCUGCAGCAGAAAACCACAGGCUAUGUUUGUGAGGGAAACAGAUGUGACCAAGAGACCGUCAACAGUGCAGCUAUUUUUGUAGCUCUGCAUUAGUGCUGGGGCAGACAGGACAAUGAAUGGGUCGAAAGCCUAUACUGCACCCACAUGAUGACAGCCAUGGCUCCCAGACAAAGCCAGAGGGCCAAAGCCAGGCCUGUCAACAUGGACAGAAGGAACCAUUCCGCCGGGUCAGUGUGGCUAUCGUUUGAAUGAGAGUAUGGGCUAUGUCCCAUGCGGGUUCUGAGUGGGCCGUGACAGGGACACCAUGAUGGCAUGCCAAUUACUUCCAGUGUGUUGAUCGUCAGACUCUGAGGGCCCAGUGUGUUGUGCCAGGCAUCGAGUUGGCGUUGGUCAUGAGAAAUGAGCAAAGCGACUGUACUCCUUUCCUCCCCAGAGGGAGGCCAAUUAAACAGUACAGCUGUGGCCCUUUUGUUGUUGAACUGCAAUUGCAGAAAUACCUCCAUUUUCUGCAGACAGGAAAGGGAGGGCAGUUAUUACCCUUUUAAAUAGCUGCAGUGGCCCUAAAGCCACCAACCUUUCAGCCUCCUUACAGCAGCAAGUAGGAACAAGUCCAUGUUCUGCCUUCAGCAUUUCAAACCAGGAUAUAAAUACUUGACUACAGAACACACCAGCGUAGAAUUCCCCAGUGAACACUGGAAAACAAGGUAGACGCAAAAGCUCCCAACCGUGGUACUGUACUGUGUAGAAAUAUACAGCUGUCAGAGGGGAAAUAGCGCUUCAGAGAAACAAUUCUUUGUACCUGAUCAUCCACGGAGGAGAGAGGAAGAUACAAGCUUAACCAAAGGGCUUCUGGACCCAGUACCUUCAAAACUUCAUCUUUUUUUUUUUUUUAAACUCAGGCUGCUAAAUCGUGAAUGGUGGUAACACUCAGUAUAAGCAAACACCAAGGGAUCGUCCCAGUGCAGUGCAGUUAGAGGGAGAUACGAACCCACUUCGUACAGACCUUCCAGGCUUAAAAGCACAAACAGUUUUUUUCCUUCCCAGCAUCUGCAAAGAACGCUGUUGCAAGCUGGUUCCCAUCCCAUCGGGCCCUGUUCUCAUCAGCCAGCAGGCUCUCCGUGUACCGACUGCUGGCUUUGGCCAGUGGGGUAAGCUAUGUGCAGCUGUAGAAGCCACAUGUCCCCAUCUGCAGAAAGGAGGGGCUGUGCCCAAAAGCCAACAAACUCUCUCUCUCCUGCUCUGCUGUACCAAGCCCUCUCACAGAAAGCCUUUGUGUAGGCAGAGGAGGGAAAUAAAGGAAGGCGGACCUUUUCCUUGCCUCGCUGCCGACUACAAGGUGAAGUAAAAGCACAGUGGCUACCCACUAACUGCUCUGGAGAAGUGCAGGCCACAGGGGGCUCCACCAACACUGGCUUCUCUUUCGGAUUUGUACUGAGCUCCAUUGUCUGGUAAUGAGCUGAGUGCAAUUUCGUACCAUGUAUUUUUGCAGCAUAACGAAUCCCUUAUAUUUAUACUUUUCACCCACAGAUCUUUUUUGUUUGCUUUAAGGGUAGGAAAAAACCCUUACCUUUAAAGCAACCUACAGUCUCAGCAGCUUGGCUCCAGGGGUGACAGGCUCUGAUCAGGCAGUGCAUAUGCAAGGCUUUGUCUUUCCCAGUGUCAGUACCUCCUGAGUUAGCAAAAGGCCAAAGGUUUAGGGUGAGAAUGUGAUGCCAGCAGGCAACCAUAUCUUCACCUCAGACAGCUAAAUGCUUGUGACUAACACAGUAUUCACACUCACUAGUCCUUUAGCUAAGUAUCCACUUAAGGAUCCUGUAGAGUAGAACUUUUUGUGGCAAAAGCUGGCACCCUUUUCUGACCAGUGGCUCCCUGAUUAAGAUGGACCCUGCUACCCUCUCUGAUGUCCAGUCGCAGGCACUGAGAACAGCAAGGCAAUUGCCUUUUCCUUGCAAACCUAUCCAUCACAGUUUCCGCACCUGAGACCACCUCUGCUCCUCCUCCACCGAGUCAGUGAGAAAUGAUCCAUUACACAGACUUAGGCAGAGUUCUUAGAAUGUAUUUUUGUUCACCUGAAAAAUAAAACUUUUAAAAAAUAUACAGGACUUUUAAAGUACAGGUAUAUCUUGAAUGGCUGAAUUAUAAAUAAUGUCUCUGGUCAUGUUCACAGCUAGGGCUGGAGAAAAUGUCCCAAUUCCAGUGAAGGCUUAUAGAGUCAGGAGGGGAAGAGGAAUGGACUCCCAGACACUCUCCCACGAGUCCAGAGGAUUCUUGGAAUAAGAGAUCAAUUUACAAAUUAUUAAAAUAUAGGACUAAAAAUUCACACCAUGAAUAUAAAUGACAGGCUAUUAUUGAAGAUACAAAGUGGCAUUUUAUGUUUCUUCCCCCCAGUCUCUCAUCAAAAAUUUAAAAAGUCCCCAUGGGCUUCCUAAUGACUUAAGUCCUCAUCAGCUGUGAAGAAAUCUCCAAGCCCAGACACCUUGGGGUGUUGGCAGCCUGCUGGGAGGCUGCCAGCUUAGUUGCUAUUUUCUUGCCCAGGACAGGACAUGGCUUAAAUCAAGACUGUUGUCCUGUAAACCUGAAUCAGAGCUAACUACAAGGUAGGCCAGAAAAGUGGAUAGACAGUUUCAGGACUAAGGUGGGCAAGGUUCCUGUUUUGUUUCUUUUUUAAAUAGCUUAUUUCCCAAAAAGGAAACACUAGGGGGUUUGAUCUCUGUCACUACCCACACUCUAUUGCCUAAAAGCAAGUGGCAGGAGGGAAUGGAAUCUAAACAAAGAAUAAUUCCUGCUGCCCUGGAGCUGUGUGUUUCUGUGUGUGUGUGUGUCACCACCUCUAGAAAAUUGUUGGCUGCAUUUAAGUGGAAGCUUAUAAGGAAUGAGAAAGACAAGCUGCCAAUUCAACCUUCCCAUAGCCGGUCUCUUUACUCGCUAUCUAAGCACACUCCUGAGCCUGAAGUCUACCUUCUGCUCUUUCUUACCCAAUAAAGCAACUCAGAACCACAUCAAAGCUCUGGUUUUGCAACUGAUUUGUUCCUAACAGCAAGCUGCUGUGUUGGGCUCAGAAAAUAGGAAAUGCAAAAAUGAGUAAGACAAGAUCUAGAAGAGCAAGAAAUUAAAUAAGACAAGAUCUGGAACCGAUAAGAUAGUUGAGGAGUCGGGAAAGGAAUGGGAGAAAACACUUGCCAAUCAGUAUACUUAAAAAGGCUUGCUCUUCCUAAAGGAGUUCUGUGAGGGGAAGGGACCAAUCUAAACACAGCAGCCUUACUCUUUCUCUCCAUUGCCCCUGGCACGGAUCCAGAGAUUCAAGCUACAACAGGAAGCCACUUUGGUGGGAGCACUAGGAUGGGAACCGGAGGGGGAUCAGCACAGUCCCCACUCUCCCUAAACAGUUUCUAUUGCUAAGGUUUUUCCACUGUCAUGGUAGCAGUCUAAGAAUGAUUAUACUCUUGUGUAAGAACGUCAGAAACUUAUCUUUCUGAAACAGGAGGAGAACAGGUGAAAGAGUGGGUGAUGGAAAAGAAAAAUAAAAGCUGUGUUUGUGCCCUCAGGCUAAGUGCAAUUUGAAGGCCAGCAAAUAGCCCUUGCUGGACCCCACCAUUCAGUAGCUACACAGGGUGUGGGGAGAUACAUAGUCCUAUGUGAUUAUAGCGUCUAGUGCAUAUGUCAACAACUAUAUACAGGGAUCUAUAAAUUAAACGCAUGUCUGGCCACUGCAACUAGGUUGACGUACCUGAGCUCCGCUACUUUUGGUGCUCUCUUCUUCGGGAGAGCCUCAGCUUACUAAAAAAGAGCCCCUACACAAUUCCCUACCUUCCCCUGAGUCUUGGGGAGGGGGCGCCCGAGUCACCCCCUGCGUUUAGGAAACACCAGAGCUAGCAGCGCAGAAAGGUUGGGUGCUAGGCUCUCCCCACCAUCCCCCCAGUUCCCCUUAUGGCUCAGGGCCCUCGGCGCUGCACGGUGCUGGGAAGAUCAAACCCGGAGUCCCCGGCGAAUCGUGGUCCCUUGGCUGAAGAUCCGGUUGUGCAUUACCGGCUCCCGAGGCAAGCUGGCUAUCGUUGAGGUGUGUGGGGGCGUACGCUCGCGUUGGGGUCACUCCGGCGGGCUCCGGAGCCGGUCCUGCUGCAAAGUCCCGCUUGGGGGGUUGGGGGACGAUGAUUCCCGACCGUCCCCAACACGGAGAGAUUCAACGACUCCGGGACUCUUCGGCCGCUUCCUCUUCGUCUUCGUCCGGCCCCCGCGGCCGCUGGAGUGGCCCGGCCAGGGGGCUGUCUACAGCAGGCUCCGGGGGCGCCGGCCUCGCCGCCUGCAGCGGGGGCGCGUCGCGUGGCGCCUCGCGGCGGGACGACCUGGUGGUGUUGGGCCCGGCCGCCCCCGAAGUCCCAGACGGGCCGGUGGUGUUGGAGCCGCUGGGGGGCGGGCCGACGGCUCCCCCCGAGGUCCCGGCGCCCACCGGCUGCCAGAUGAGACUGUAGUAGACGGCCAGUACGAUGGCGGCCAGCGACACGGAGAGCACGUAGGCGAACACCGUGGCUAGCCGGACCCACUUCUUGUUGGUCUUGGCCGCCAUCUUCGCCUUCUUGUCCCCGGUGUAGGUGGCCGGCUUGCCCCGCUCGGCCGGGGCCGCGUCGCGCUCCUUCAUGGGGGGGCCCCGGCCUUUGCCCCGGUGCUCCACGGCCCCGGCUGGAGGGGGCCUGGCGGCCUGCGAGGACUGGGCAGGGGGCGUCUCGGCGCCCUGGCUUCCCGGCGGCCCCGCGCUCCGCCGCUGCUCCUCACGCCGCCCGCCCGCAGCCCGCCACCGCGUCGCUACCGCCGCCGGGGCCUGGGCCUGUCACCGCCGCCAGCGCCGCCGCCGCCGUCGGCCCGCCAGCUGCUUCCCGGCCGCCGCCACAGCCACAGCCGCCCGACUCCGCGUCCCCAUCCGCUGCCGCCGCCUGCCCGGCCGCCGGCCGCCUGGUCUCCAGUGGCCGCGCGGACCGCGCGCUCGGCUCCAGCCCGGCUCCCCCGCCGGGCGCGCCGGUGCAGGGGGCGGGGCCGCGCGCUGCCGGGGGGCUGCCCCUUAAAAGGGCGAUGUAGGGGCCCGGAAGUGCAGAGCUGGGAGGCGGCUGCGGCGAGGCGUCAUGGGCC